rnacentral:rRNA from 1 species
AUGGAGGGCGAGACGACGCUGGCGACGGAGCUGGACGGGCUGCUGGCCAUGGCGAGGGAGCUGGAGGCGCGGGUGGACGGCGACCAGGGUGCGCCGGGCGCCGCCAGGGAGCUCUGCGCCGAGCUGGCCGCGUCCGUCCACCGGGCCGUGCGCCUCGCCGGGAGCGAAGGCAAUGCCGGCGGCAGGGCGAGCGUGAACGGGCGGCUCAGGAGCGGCAGGAAGGCGGCGGCGGCGGCGAGGGCGCAGGUCAGGGUGGCGUCGAUGCAGGACCUCGGGCCGCUCGACGACGGGCUCAGCUGGCGCAAGUACGGCCAGAAGGACAUCCUGGGCGCACCGUACCCGCGGGCCUACUUCCGGUGCACGCACCGCCACUCGCAGGGCUGCCAGGCCACCAAGCAGGUGCAGCGCGCCGCCGCCGACCCGCUGCUCUUCGACGUCGUCUACCACGGCGCGCACACCUGCGCCCAGGCCACCGCGCUCCUCGCCGGCACGGAGCAGCAGCCGCCUGCUCCCUUCGGCCAGGAGCAGCAGAGCUCGCCGGCUGCGGCGCCGGAAGGGAUGCAGUGGCCGGAAGAGCCCUUCACGCCGCCCUCGUUCCCCUCCUCGCCGGCCGGCUGCUACACGCCGGGGAACUCCUGGUGCCAGCUUGCCGGCAACUACGGCUACGCUGCCGGCGGCGGCCUCGGGGCUGACAUGGAGUUCGACGAGCUGUUCUGGAAUAUGUAG